AGAGCGAACGCUGGCGGCAGGCUUAACACAUGCAAGUCGAGCGGGCGUAGCAAUACGUCAGCGGCAGACGGGUGAGUAACGCGUGGGAACGUACCUUUUGGUUCGGAACAACCCAGGGAAACUUGGGCUAAUACCGGAUAAGCCCUUACGGGGAAAGAUUUAUCGCCGAAAGAUCGGCCCGCGUCUGAUUAGCUAGUUGGUGAGGUAAUGGCUCACCAAGGCGACGAUCAGUAGCUGGUCUGAGAGGAUGAUCAGCCACAUUGGGACUGAGACACGGCCCAAACUCCUACGGGAGGCAGCAGUGGGGAAUAUUGGACAAUGGGCGAAAGCCUGAUCCAGCCAUGCCGCGUGAGUGAUGAAGGCCUUAGGGUUGUAAAGCUCUUUUACCCGGGAAGAUAAUGACGGUACCGGGAGAAUAACGCCCCGGCUAACUUCGUGCCAGCAGCCGC
rnacentral:rRNA from 1 species